ACGUAAUGAGUUUACACAACACGGAGCUCACCUGAGAAAAAUCUCCAGCAUUGUCGGAGGCUUGAUCAACUUUCUCUAACGUAAUGCUGCAUCUACCUGGUAAAGUCACUGUUUUCAUACUGCUAUGUUUGGCAGUAAGUGCGAUUGGUUUUAUAAUGCACCUGGUUGCUGUGUGUACACCAUUUUGGCUAAUUUCAAAAAAGGGUGGGGAAACACAAGCUUGGACUGGAUUAUGGAAAGUUUGUAAGAGAACUACUAAGUGGACUAAAUAUUACUGUGAAGAUGUUCCCGAGGAACUUACUGGUACAACGCUUCGUGCUGUUCAAGGAAGUGUAUUGGCGAGCCUGCUGUUUAUAUUGGUUGGAGGUGUGGCUACAGUAGCAGCAUUAGCAAUGGCGCGUGAAAAUCUAAAUCACACCAAUUUACUGCGAUUCUCAUCUGUGGUCAAUUUCUUCGCAGUUAUAUCAUCACUGGCAUCAGCAGUUAUAUUCUGGGUGAAAACAAACUACUUCAGAGAUAGCAAAUAUGUAGACCAAGAUAGUACAACUACAAUUGAUACGGGAUUUUCAUUAAAGCUAGAAAUUGCCACAGCCAUAUUUAUGUUCUUGGCUUCCAUAAUGGCGCUCAUACAUAUCCGAGUUAAAGAUGGACUCCAACAAAUGGUGGGCAAUAAUCAAGUAAUUCGUGUGUGAAGUUUGUUUCUAAACAUAUAAAGGGAACAUUUAAAUGAAUAAAGUUCUUUGCAUAGUA